rnacentral:tRNA from 1 species
GUACCCAUGGUGUAGUGGUUGUCACAUCUGCCUAACACAAAGAAGGUCCCAGGUUCGAAACCUGGUGGGUACA